rnacentral:rRNA from 1 species
UACGUAGGUGGCAAGCGUUAUCCGGAUUUACUGGGUGUAAAGGGCGUGUAGGCGGGAAAGCAAGUCAGAUGUGAAAACCACGGGCUCAACCUGUGGCCUGCAUUUGAAACUGUUUUUCUUGAGUACUGGAGAGGCAGACGGAAUUCCUCGUGUAGCGGUGAAAUGCGUAGAUAUGAGGAGGAACACCAGUGGCGAAGGCGGGCUGCUGGACAGCAACUGACGCUGAGGCGCGAAAGCGUGGGGAGCAAACAGG